rfam:Gossypium hirsutum cultivar TM-1 chromosome 21, whole genome shotgun sequence
UAUUAAAAUUUUUAUCCAUUUGUACUAUUAAAAACUAAUGCGGCUAAUAAAAUAGGCGGAUAGUGAUACGUGGCAUGUCAGGUCUGCGUCAUGUUGACAUACAAAGACCUAUUUUUAAUAGUAAAAAUGGAUGAAAUUUUAAUA